rnacentral:rRNA from 1 species
AUUGAACGCUGGCGGCAGGCCUAACACAUGCAAGUCGAACGAGCGGCGGACGGGUGAGUAAUGUCUGGGAAACUGCCUGAUGGAGGGGGAUAACUACUGGAAACGGUAGCUAAUACCGCAUACCAUCGGAUGUGCCCAGAUGGGAUUAGCUAGUAGGUGGGGUAAAGGCUCACCUAGGCGACGAUCCCUAGCUGGUCUGAGAGGAUGACCAGCAACACUGGAGCGGAGACAGGGGCCAGACGCCUACGGGAGGGCGCAGUGGGUAAUAGUGCACAAUGGGCGCAAGCCUGAUGCAGCCAUGCCGCGUGUAUGGAGGAGGCCUUCGGGGUGGAAAGUACUUUCAGCGGGGAGGCGUUACCCGCAGAAGAAGCACCGGCUAACUCCGGGCCAGCAGCCGCGGUAAUAC